CCCCGGGAGGGGGUAACGGGCUCCGAUCCUUCCCCGGUGGGCGAGAAGGAGAUGGGGGAGCGCCAGGACCCCCACGAGCACCCCCCGGGACAACCGGGCGCUCUGCCGAGCACCGUCUAUCCCGGUCCCGGUCCCAAACCCGGUCCGGGUCCCGGUCCCGAUCCCUCCUCCCCGGGGGGGUGCACAGCCCGUCCCGGUCCCGGUCCCGGUCCCUCCUCCCCGGGGAUUGGGCAGCGCCGAGCACCCCCGGUACCGGUCCCACUCCCGAUCCCGAUCCCAAUCCCGGUCCCGCGGUCCCGAUCCCGAUCGCGGUCUCGGUCCCUUCUCCCCGGGGGGGGGUGCACAGCACCGAGCACCCCCGGUCCCGGUAUUCCCGUGCCGAUCCCGAUCUCGGUCCCGGGGUCCCGGUCCCAGUCCCGAUCCCGGUGUCCCGGUCCUUCAUCCCCGGGGGGGUACACAGAGCCGAGCACCCCCGCUCCCGGUGUCCCUGUGCCGAUCCCGAUCCCAAUCCCGGUCCCGGUCUCCCGGUCCCGGUCCCGAUUCCAAUCCCUCCUCCCCGGGGAGAUUUGGGGUGGGGGGGGGUUUGCAGAGCCCCCCGAGCACCGUCCGUCCCGUCCAAUCCCGGUCCCACCGUCUGUGCCGGUACCGGUUGCGGCUCCCGGUACCGGUGGGGGAUCCCGGUACCGGUGAGGGGUCCCGGUACCGGUGGACUCACGCGUCCCGUGGAAGCGGCGGGCGAUGGUGUCCAGGAAGGCGUUUUGCGGUACCGGGAGACCCCGCAUCGGCGACAUCUCGGUGGCGGCUCCGCGUUGGGCGGGCACCGGGGGGGGCGGCGCUGGGUCCCGAAUUCUUCACCCUGAGGGUGGUGAGAGCCUGGCCCAGGUUGGCCAGAGAAGCUGUGGCUGCCCCAUCCCUGGAGGGGUUCAAGGGGCAGGUUGGAGGGGGCUUGGAGCAACCUGGGCUGGUGGGAGGUGGCCCUUCCAUCAGAAGGGAUGGAACUGGAUGAGCUUUAAGGUUCCUUCCAACCCAAAAUGUUCUGGGAUUCUACGGUGAUCCCACCACUUCCCUGGGUUGGAAGAGACCUCGAAGCUCAUCAAGGCCAACCAUCAACCCACCACCACCCACCACCACCCUUAGAUCCCCCCAGGGAUGGUGUUUGGGGAACUGGAGCCAUCGGAUGAGUGGGAAGAGUUUUGAACCAAAAAUUAGGAGAUUUAGGUGAGAUCCGGGGAGGAAAUUCCUCCCCCUGAGGGUGGUGGCCCAGGUUGGCCAGAGAAGCUGUGGCUGCCCCAUCCCUGGAGGGGUCCAAGGCCAAGGUUGGAGGGGGCUUGGAGCAACCUGGGCUGGUGGGAGGUGUCCAUAGGGCAGGGGGUGGGACUUGGGGGGGCUUUAAGGUCCCUUCCCACCCCAAACCAGUCUGGUCACUGGUGGCAGCGAGGCAGAGGCAGCGACACCCACCAUGAUCAUCACCUUUAUUGGUACAGCUCUGGAGAACGCCUGUCGCCAUCUCCCCCCCCCCGACACACACCCCGGGGCGGCCCAGGAUUAGCUCUGCUAAUUGAUAUUGCUCUAAAUUUAAUUUAGGGACCGAGAAAAAAGGCUGGAGAAAUUGGGGAGAAAUUAGGGAGAACGGGGGACGCGCGCACACACACACACACACACACACACAGAGGGCAAGACGGGGGAAGUG
rnacentral:lncRNA from 1 species